rnacentral:rRNA from 1 species
GACGUAGGAUGCGAGCGUUUUCCGGAUUCAUUGGGCGUAAAGAGUUCGUAGGCGGUUUGUUAAGUCUGAUGUUAAAGAUCGGGGCUCAACCUCGGGAGUGCAUUGGAUACUGGCAGACUUGAGUGCAGUAGAGGCGAGUGGAAUUCCCAGUGUAGCGGUGAAAUGCGUAGAUAUUGGGAAGAACACCGGUGGCGCAGGCGACUCGCUGGGCUGUAACUGACGCUGAGGAACGAAAGCUAGGGGAGCAAAUGGG